rnacentral:rRNA from 1 species
AGCCACCCUUUAAAGAAAGCGUAAUAGCUCACUGGUCGAGUCGGCCUGCGCGGAAGAUUCAACGGGGCUUAAGCCAUGUACCGAAGCUGCGGAAGCACGUUUACGUGCUUGGUAGGGGAGCGUUCCGUAAGCCUGUGAAGGUGUGCUGUAAGGCAUGCUGGAGGUAUCGGAAGUGCGAAUGCUGACAUGAGUAACGAUAAAGAGGGUGAGAUUCCCCCUCGCCGAAAGCCCAAGGUUUCCUGCGCAACGUUCAUCGGCGCAGGGUUAGUCGGCCCCUAAGACGAGGCCGAAAGGCGUAGUCGAUGGGAAGCGGGUUAAUAUUCCCGCACCUGCUGUUACUGCGAUGGGGGGACGGAGAAGGCUAGGUCAUCCGGGCGACGGUCGUCCCGGUUCAAGCGUGUAGGCAGAUCCCUUAGGCAAAUCCGGGGGGUUAAUGCUGAGGCGUGACGACGAGCCUCCACGGAGGCGAAGUGAUUGAUGCCAAGCUCCCAAGAAAAGCCUCUAAGCUUCAGGUAACAGGGGACCGUACCCCAAACCGACACAGGUGGGCAGGGUGAGAAUCCCCAGGCGCUUGAGAGAACUCUGGUGAAGGAACUAGGCAAAAUAGUACCGUAACUUCGGGAGAAGGUACGCCCCUAGUACGUGAAGGCCCAGCGGCCGGAGCGGACGGGGGUUGCAGUGACCAGGUGGCUGCGACUGUUUACUAAAAACACAGCACUCUGCAAACGCGUAAGCGGACGUAUAGGGUGUGACGCCUGCCCGGUGCCGGAAGGUUAAGUGAUGGGGUUAGCCGCAAGGCGAAGCUCUUGAUCGAAGCCCCGGUAAACGGCGGCCGUAACUAUAACGGUCCUAAGGUAGCGAAAUUCCUUGUCGGGUAAGUUCCGACCUGCACGAAUGGCGUAACGAUGGCCACGCUGUCUCCACCAGAGACUCAGUGAAAUUGAAAUCUCGGUUAAGAUGCCGAGUACCCGCGGCUAGACGGAAGGACCCCGUGAACCUUUACUAUAGCUUCACACGGGACUUUGAAUCGACUUGUGUAGGAUAGGUGGGAGGCUAAGAAGCCCGGACGCCAGUUCGGGUGGAGCCACCCUUGAAAUACCACCCUGGUCGAUUUGAAGUUCUAACCCAGGCCCGUCAUCCGGGUCGGGGACAGUGUGUGGUGGGUAGUUUGACUGGGGCGGUCUCCUCCCAAAGAGUAACGGAGGAGCACGAAGGUACCCUCAGCGCGGUCGGAAAUCGCGCAGUGAGUGCAAAGGCAUAAGGGUGCUUGACUGCGAGACAGACACGUCGAGCAGGUACGAAAGUAGGUCUUAGUGAUCCGGUGGUUCUGUAUGGAAGGGCCAUCGCUCAACGGAUAAAAGGUACUCCGGGGAUAACAGGCUGAUACCGCCCAAGAGUUCAUAUCGACGGCGGCGUUUGGCACCUCGAUGUCGGCUCAUCACAUCCUGGGGCUGAAGUCGGUCCCAAGGGUAUGGCUGUUCGCCAUUUAAAGUGGUACGCGAGCUGGGUUUAGAACGUCGUGAGACAGUUCGGUCCCUAUCUGCCGUGGGCGUUGGAGACUUGCGGGAAGCUGCUCCUAGUACC